GAUUGCUGUGAGUGCCUCGCGCGUUUACCAUCUUCUAGAAAACGUUUCUGCCAUUGGUAUCUUUCACGGCGAGAAAUGUAUUGAAAGUAAGACACAUCGGGUGCCAGUUGAGUUAUGACAUGAGAAUGAGUGGCGGAAACAACAAAAAACGCACGAAUGUGUCUAGGUAACACGGGCGAGAAAUGUAUUGAAAGUAAGACACAUCGGGUAUUUGUUGUUUCUAUAACUGAAGUAAUGAUGGCCGGCCAGAGGUGAAAUUCUUGGAUCGGUCAAACCAACUUAUGCGU
rnacentral:rRNA from 1 species